rnacentral:rRNA from 1 species
UACGAAGGGGGCUAGCGUUGCUCGGAAUCACUGGGCGUAAAGGGUGCGUAGGCGGGUUCUUAAGUCGGUGGUGAAAUCCUGGAGCUCAACUCCAGAACUGCCUUCGAUACUGAGAGUCUCGAGUCCGGGAGAGGUGAGUGGAACUGCGAGUGUAGAGGUGAAAUUCGUAGAUAUUCGCAAGAACACCAGUGGCGAAGGCGGCUCACUGGCCCGGUACUGACGCUGAGGUGCGAAAGCGUGGGGAGCAAACAGG